rnacentral:rRNA from 1 species
UACGGGGGGGGCAAGCGUUGUUCGGAAUUACUGGGCGUAAAGGGCUCGUAGGCGGCCAACUAAGUCGGAUGUGGAAUCCCCAGCUUAACCUGGGAAUUGCAUCCGAUACUGGAUGGCUUGAAUCCGGGAGAGGGAUGCGGAAUUCCAGGUGUAGCGGUGAAAUGCGUAGAUAUCUGGAGGAACACCGGUGGCGAAGGCGGCAUCCUGGACCGGCAUUGACGGCUGAGGAGCGAAAGCCAGGGGAGCAAACGGG